CGGACGGGUGAGUAACGCGUGGAGGACCUGCCGUAUACUGGGGGAUAACACUUAGAAAUAGGUGCUAAUACCGCAUAAGCGCACAGCUUCGCAUGAAGCAGUGUGAAAAACUCCGGUGGUAUACGAUGGAUCCGCGUCUGAUUAGCUGGUUGGCGGGGUAAAGGCCCACCAAGGCGACGAUCAGUAGCCGGCCUGAGAGGGUGAACGGCCACAUUAGGACUGAGACACGGCCCAAACUCCUACGGGAGGCAGCAG
rnacentral:rRNA from 1 species